UGAAUGUAUGUGUGCCUGUGCAUGCAUGUGUGUAUGUGUGUGUAUGUAUAUGUGAAUAUACAU
ensembl:miRNA predicted gene, 26050